CAGGGAGGGACUCAUCUCUCCACAGUUCCCAUACUGUUUGGCCCUGUUUUUCAAUUUGACUCCUUCAAAGCUCAUUCUCCAGCCGAGGGGUACGCAUAUCUUUGUGACUUCAGAAAACAUGUGCUGCUGGUUUGGGAAUCUUAACCACAUUUGGAGGACACGCUGAGCCAACACGAAAUGGAAGUGCUACCUGAUUCCACAGGUGGAGCCUGCAGAGAGUCACAGUCA
rnacentral:lncRNA from 1 species